UUGGAGGGCAAGUCUGGUGCCAGCAGCCGCGGUAAUUCCAGCUCCAAUAGCGUAUAUUAAAGUUGUUGCAGUUAAAAAGCUCGUAGUUGAAUUUCGGGGUUAGUAGGUUGGUCAUGCCUCUGGUAUGUACUGGUCUCACUGAUUCCUCCUUCCUGAUGAGCCGUAAUGCCAUUAAUUUGGUGUUGCGGGGAAUUUGGACUGUUACUUUGAAAAAAUUAGAGUGUUUAAAGCAAGCUAACGCUUGAAUACAUUAGCAUGGAAUAAUGAAAUAGGACGUUCGAUCCUAUUUUGUUGGUUUCUAGGAUUGACGUAAUGAUUAAUAGGGAUAGUUGGGGGCAUUAGUAUUCAAUUGUCAGAGGUGAAAUUCUUGGAUUUAUUGAAGACUAACUACUGCGAAAGCAUUUGCCAAGGAUGUUUUCAUUAAUCAAGAACGAAAGUUAGGGGAUCGAAGACGAUCAGAUACCGUCGUAGUCUUAACCAUAAACUAUGCCGACCAGGGAUCGGACGAUGUUAAUUUUUUAAUGACUCGUUCGGCGCCUUACGGGAAAC
rnacentral:rRNA from 1 species